UACGGAGGGUGCGAGCGUUGUCCGGAAUCAUUGGGCGUAAAGGGCGCGUAGGUGGCCCGGUCAGUUCGUGGUGAAAGCGCGGGGCUCAACCCUGCGUCGGCCAUGAAUACUGCCGCGGCUGGAGCACUGUAGAGGCAGGCGGAAUUCCGGGUGUAGCGGUGGAAUGCGUAGAGAUCCGGAAGAACACCGGUGGCGAAGGCGGCCUGCUGGACAGUUGCUGGACACUGAGGCGCGACAGCGUGGGGAGCAAACAGGG
rnacentral:rRNA from 1 species